AAAACUUUCAACAACGGAUCUCUUGGUUCUGGCAUCGAUGAAGAACGCAGCGAAAUGCGAUAAGUAAUGUGAAUUGCAGAAUUCA
rnacentral:rRNA from 1 species